CAGUCGCCGCGGUAAUACGUAGGGCGCAAGCGUUGUCCGGAAUUAUUGGGCGUAAAGAGCUCGUAGGCGGUCUGUCGCGUCUGGUGUGAAAUCCCGAGGCUCAACCUCGGGCUUGCAUCGGGUACGGGCAGACUAGAGUGCGGUAGGGGAGACUGGAAUUCCUGGUGUAGCGGUGGAAUGCGCAGAUAUCAGGAGGAACACCGAUGGCGAAGGCAGGUCUCUGGGCCGCAACUGACGCUGAGGAGCGAAAGCAUGGGGAGCGAACAGGAUUAGAUACCCCGGUAGUCCCUGUCUCUUAUAU
rnacentral:rRNA from 1 species